AUGUUAGCAAUUGCCGCAUUUUAUGAAAUUUGGAAAAUGGAUGUCAAAACUGCAUUCCUUAAUGGAUUUCUUAAAGAAGAGUUGUAUAUGAUACAACCAAGAGGUUUGUCAAUCCGAAAGGUGCUAACAAAAGUGUGCAAACUCCAGCGAUCCAUCUAUGGACUGGAGCAAGCAUCUCGGAGUUGGAAUAUACGCUUUGAUAAGGUGAUCAAAGCAUAUGGUUUUAUACAGACUUUAGAUGAAGCCUAUAUUUACAAGAAAGUGAGUGGUAGAACUACAGCCUUUCUCAUAAGUAUAUGUGAAUGA
rnacentral:rRNA from 1 species